rnacentral:tRNA from 1 species
GAUAAAAUAAGCUAACUCUUAAGCUAUUGGGCUCAUACCCCGAAAAUGGACAAUGUUCCUUUUAUCA